rnacentral:rRNA from 1 species
UACGGGAGGCAGCAGUGAGGAAUAUUGGUCAAUGGCCGAGAGGCUGAACCAGCCAAGUAGCGUGCAGGAUGACGGCCCUAUGGGUUGUAAACUGCUUUUAUACGGGGAUAAAGUGAGGGACGCGUCCCUUUUUGUAGGUACCGUAUGAAUAAGGACCGGCUAAUUCCGUGCCAGCAGCCGCGGUAAU